GACGAACGCUGGCGGCGUGCUUAACACAUGCAAGUCGAACGGUGAAGCGCCUUCCUUUUUGGUGGGUGUGGAUGAGUGGCGAACGGGUGAGUAACACGUGAGUAACCUGCCCCCUUCUUCUGGAUAACCGCAUGAAAGUGUGGCUAAUACGGGAUAUUCUGGGUCUGUCGCAUGAUGGGUCUGGGAAAGAUAUUGUUUCGGUGGGGGAUGGGCUCGCGGCCUAUCUGCUUGUUGGUGGGGUGAUGGCCUACCAAGGCGGUGACGGGUAGCCGGCCUGAGAGGGUGGACGGUCACACUGGGACUGAGACACGGCCCAGACUCCUACGGGAGGCAGCAGUGGGGAAUAGUGCACAAUGGGCGCAAGCCUGAUGCAGCGACGCCGCGUGAGGGAUGGAGGCCUUCGGGUUGUGAACCUCUUUCGCCAGUGAAGCAGGCCUGCCUCGUUUGUGGGUGGGUUGACGGUAGCUGGAUAAGAAGCGCCGGCUAACUACGUG
rnacentral:rRNA from 1 species